rnacentral:lncRNA from 1 species
UCAGUGAGUAGCACCAGCAGCCCCGGCAACAGUACCAUGGGAGGCAGCUCCAACAGCACGGUGAGGGCAGGAUUUGGAACAGUAGAACCAUGUGUUGUCAUCUCUAUAACCAUACAUAGAGGGCCUGUAUCCUAAGAGUUAGUGUUUGCAGAAGGCUAUAAUAUGAUUGCGCAAUAGUUUGAACUACAAGCAUAGUAAAACAUUAGCUAAAAUGAACAGGUAAAAAAACGGUAUUUUGUUAUUUUAUAUGGCUAAUUGCUCGUUGCAAGUCGUUGGUUGUAAGUACAUGGCUAAAUCAGUCCUUGUGUCUAGUGUAAAAUAUCUGUCCCUCUUUUGAUGGAUAGGAAUUCUCGUUGUCCUAUGUCAUGUAAUCUUUCAGUCUGACCAUGUACUGUAUUGACAUUGUCUGGAAUGUAAGAUUAAUUUAGUGGAGUGUUUUUUUUUAUAUCUGAAUUACUUUGAAAGGUGCCAGUUAUGUACUGUGGAGGAGAGUAAGCUUUAUGUUAGCCUCAUCCAGAGGAGAAUGAGCGAAUCAUUACUGAAGAGAGUGAGCUCAAUGUGACCUUUUGCCGGAGGAGAGUACGCUAAAUGUUAUCUUCUUCCCCCUCACAGAUCUCAUGCCGUACCUUCACUUGUGACGGUUCUAACUGUUACUGGAUGUUUAUGAAUAUGAGCUCCAGCACCUGCCCUUCCAGUUCCAACUACUGUGAGUUUCGGAGAUGUAAUGAUUCGAUGUACUCAGUGGGAUGUGUAGACUCAUGUGACCUUGGCUCCACUCGCUGCGUAAACGACUCCCAGAUCGACUGCGUGAAAGACUGUUGCAACAUGACGGACUGCCUCAACACCACACUGCAGAAUAUGGGAAACACCCAAGAAACCACAGGUACCUACAUACAUUUGUCAAAGAGGGCAAGGCUUAAAGGUGCAGUUCACGAUUCCUAUCCAAUGCACUUUCUGCCAAAUUCAGCCAAUUGCUCCAAUGGUCUUCAAACUGUCCAUUCUGUGUGUGUGCCUAAACCCACAGUCCUGACUCUGUAAAUAGGAAAUAAACAAAGUGGCCCGGACUGAGCCA